CAAUGGAAUAGAAUGGUGGAAUAAGCGUUCGAUAUACAAAAGACUGUGUUUAAAUGUCAAUAAUCAUAUGGUAACAUUUGUAUGCGUAUGCUAACAUGUCCGCGUGUGAAGUACACAUAUGUAAAUGUAUACGUAAUACGAAAUGAACUUAGACAGUAAAAUUGUUUUUCCUAACUUAUUUCAAUACUUACGACAUAAAUUUCAGUAAAAGUAUAGCCAUUAACAAAACCGGUUUAUAAAUUCGUUAAGCAUUCAAUAUGAACCAUUUUUUGUUAAUCUAUUAGUACAGACACCAUGUAUCAUGCUCUAACAAUUCUAGCAUCUCUGUUGAUUUCAUCUUCUUUGUCUUUUGAACAAAAGUGUUUUUAUCCUUAUUCAGUACAAGAGCUCAACAUACAGAAGUUAACAGGCACUACGUGGUACAGCCUAUUACGAACUAUCGAUGUUGCAUCUUCAAAUACUAUGUGUGAACGCGUAUCAAACUUCACGGAAACCGACGACGGGUUCAAAGUAAACUUGCGAACGUACACUGGAGGAUUGAAAUACGUAGACUGGAUUUCUCAUUUUAAUCUCGAAAGAUCAGGAGUAUAUCACGAGGACA